UCUGGGCCAUAACUGACACUGAGGAGCGAAAGUGCGGGGAGCGAACAGGAUUAGAUACCCUGGUAGUCCGCACCGUAAACGGUGGGCACUAGUUGUGGGAACCUUCCACGGUUUCCGCGACGCAGCAAACGCAUUAAGUGCCCCGCCUGGGGAGUACGAUCGCAAGAUUAAAACUCAAAGGAAUUGACGGGGCCCCGCACAAGCAGCGGAGCAUGCGGCUUAAUUCGACGCGACGCGAAGAACCUUACCAAGGCUUGACAUAUAGUGAAAAGUGGCAGAGAUGUCAUGUCCGCAAGGGCGCUAUACAGGUGGUGCAUGGUUGUCGUCAGCUCGUGUCGUGAGAUGUUGGGUUAAGUCCCGCAACGAGCGCAACCCUCGUUCUGUGUUACCAGCAUUUAGUUGGGGACUCACAGGAGACUGCCGGGGUCAACUCGGAGGAAGGUGGGGAUGACGUCAAAUCAUCAUGCCCCUUAUGUCUUGGGCUGCACGCAUGCUACAAUGGCCGGUACAAAGUGCUGCGAGAUCGUAAGAUUGAGCGAAUCACAUAAAGCCGGUCUCAGUUCGGAUUGAGGUCUGCAACUCGACCUCAUGAAGUCGGAGUUGCUAGUAAUCGUAGAUCAGCAACGCUACGGUGAAUACGUUCCCGGGGCUUGUACACACCGCCCGUCACGUCACGAAAGUCGGUAACACCCAAAGUUAGUGGCCCAACCGCAAGGGGGGAGCUACCUAAGGUGGGAUCGGUGAUUGGGACGAAGUCGUAACAAGGUAGCCGUA
rnacentral:rRNA from 1 species